UACGUAGGGUGCAAGCGUUAAUCGGAAUUACUGGGCGUAAAGCGUGAGCAGGCGGUUCCGCAAGUCAGAUGUGAAAUCCCCGGGCUCAACCUGGGAACUGCAUUUGAAACUACGGGGCUAGAGUGUGUCAGAGGGGGGUGGAAUUCCACGUGUAGCAGUGAAAUGCGUAGAGAUGUGGAGGAACACCAAUGGCGAAGGCAGCUCGCUGGGACGUGACUGACGCUGAGACGCGAAAGCGUGGGGAGCAAACAGG
rnacentral:rRNA from 1 species